rnacentral:rRNA from 1 species
CCUACGGGUGGCAGCAGUGGGGAAUAUUGGACGAUGGGCGAAAGCCUGAUCCAGCCAUGCCGCGUGUGUGAAGAAGGCCUUCGGGUUGUAAAGCACUUUCAGUGGGGAAGAAAGCCUUGGGGCUAAUACCCUCGAGGAAGGACAUCACCCACAGAAGAAGCACCGGCUAACUCCGUGCCAGCAGCCGCGGUAAUACGGAGGGUGCGAGCGUUAAUCGGAAUUACUGGGCGUAAAGCGCGCGUAGGCGGUCUGAUAAGCCGGUUGUGAAAGCCCCGGGCUCAACCUGGGAACGGCAUCCGGAACUGUCAGGCUAGAGUGCAGGAGAGGAAGGUAGAAUUCCCGGUGUAGCGGUGAAAUGCGUAGAGAUCGGGAGGAAUACCAGUGGCGAAGGCGGCCUUCUGGACUGACACUGACGCUGAGGUGCGAAAGCGUGGGUAGCAAACAGGAUUAGAUACCCUUGUAGUC